UGGGGAAUAUUGGACAAUGGAGGAAACUCUGAUCCAGCAAUUCUGUGUGUGUGAAGAAGGUUUUAGGACUGUAAAACACUUUUAGUAGGGAAGAAAAAAAUGACGGUACCUACAGAAGAAGCAACGGCUAAAUACGUGCCAGCAGCCGCGGUAAUACGUAUGUUGCGAGCGUUAUCCGGAAUUAUUGGGCUUAAAGGGCAUCUAGGCGGUAAGACAAGUUGAAGGUGAAAACCUGUGGCUCAACCAUAGGCUUGCCUACAACACUGUUGAACUAGAGUACUGGCAAGGUGGGUGGAACUACACGAGUAGAGGUGAAAUUCGUAGAUAUGUGUACGAAUGCCGAUGAUGUUGAUAACUCACUGCACUGAUACUGACGCUGAAGUGCGAUAGCUAGGGGAGCAAACAGG
rnacentral:rRNA from 1 species